UCGUACGAGAGUUUUUAACUCAAGUGGCGGACGGGUGAGUAACACGUAAGAAUUUGCCUUUAGGAGGGGGACAACAACUGGAAACGGUUGCUAAUACCCCAUAUGCUUUCGAGUAAAAUGGUUUUUCCGCCUAAAGAGAAGCUUGCGGCUGAUUAGCUUGUUGGUGAGGUAAUGGCUCACCAAGGCGACGAUCAGUAUCUGGUUUGAGAGGACGAUCAGACACACUGGAACUGAGACACGGUCCAGACUCCUACGGGAGGCAGCAGUGGGGAAUUUUCCGCAAUGGGCGAAAGCCUGACGGAGCAAUACCGCGUGAGGGAUGACGGCCUAUGGGUUGUAAACCUCUUUUUUCAGGGAGGAAUAAAUGACGUGUACCUGAGGAAUAAGCAUCGGCUAACUCCGUGCCAGCAGCCGCGGUAAGACGGAGGAUGCAAGUGUUAUCCGGAAUCACUGGGCGUAAAGCGUCUGUAGGUGGUCCAAUAAGUCAACUGUUAAAUCUUGAGGCUCAACCUCAAAAUCGCAGUCGAAACUAUUAGACUAGAGUAUAGUAGGGGUAAAGGGAAUUUCCAGUGGAGCGGUGAAAUGCGUAGAGAUUGGAAAGAACACCGAUGGCGAAGGCACUUUACUGGGCUAUUACUAACACUGAGAGACGAAAGCUAGGGUAGCAAAUGGGAUUAGAUACCCCAGUAGUCCUAGCCGUAAACAAUGGAUACUAGAUGUUGAACAGAUCGACCUGUGCAGUAUCAAAGCUAACGCGUUAAGUAUCCCGCCUG
rnacentral:rRNA from 1 species